rnacentral:rRNA from 1 species
UACGUAGGAGGCAAGCGUUGUCCGGAAUUACUGGGCGUAAAGCGCGUGUAGGCGGCUCGAUAAGUCUGCUGUGAAAGUUCAGGGCUCAACCCUGAAAUGCCGGUGGAAACUGUCGGGCUAGAGUCCGGAAGAGGCGAGUGGAAUUCCUGGUGUAGCGGUGAAAUGCGCAGAUAUCAGGAGGAACACCAAUGGCGAAGGCAGCUCGCUGGGACGGUACUGACGCUGAGACGCGAAAGCGUGGGGAGCAAACAGG